rnacentral:snRNA from 1 species
GGACUUACCUGGCAGGGAAGACACCCAUGGGUGCUUUCCCAGGGCGAGGCUCAUCGAUUGCCCUGAGGAUCUGCUGAGCCCUGCAAUUGCCCCAGGGGGGACACUGAGUGCAAAAUUUGCGUUGGUGGAGAGUUGAGGUUGCGCUUUCCCUGA